UACGUAGGGGGCUAGCGUUGUCCGGAUUUAUUGGGCGUAAAGAACGUGUAGGCGGCCAGGUAGGUCUGCUGUGAAAACUCGAGGCUCAACCUCGAGACGUUGGCGGAAACCAUCUGGCUAGAGUCCGGAAGAGGAGAGUGGAAUUCCUGGUGUUAGCGGUGAAAUGCGCAGAUAUCAGGAGGAACACCGAUGGCGAAGGCAGGUCUCUGGGCAUUAACUGACGCUGAGGAGCGAAAGCAUGGGGAGCGAACGGG
rnacentral:rRNA from 1 species